AUUGAACGUUGGCGGCGUGGAUUAGGCAUGCAAGUCGUGCGGAAAGGCCCCGCAAGGGGCACUCGAGCGGCGAAAGGGAGAGUAACGCGUGGAUCAUCUACCCCGGGGUCCGGGAUAGCCGCGGGAAACUGCGGGUAAUACCGGAUGACAUCUCCGGAUCAAAGGUGCGAUUCCGCCCUGGGAGGAGUCCGCGUGCUAUUAGCUGGUUGGUGAGGUAACGGCUCACCAAGGCUCAGAUGGCUACGAGGCGUGAGAGCGUGUCCUCGCUCACUGGGACUGAGACACUGCCCGGACACCUACGGGUGGCUGCAGUCGAGAAUCUUCGGCAAUGGGCGCAAGCCUGACCGAGCGACGCCGCGUGCGGGAUGAAGGCCUUCGGGUUGUAAACCGCUGUCAGUGGGGAGGAAAUCCCGGGAGGUUCUCCUUUCGGGUUGACCUAUCCGCAGAGGAAGGACGGGCUAAGUUCGUGCCAGCAGCCGCCGUAAGAC
rnacentral:rRNA from 1 species